rnacentral:lncRNA from 1 species
UGGGAUCUGAGAUGGGAGCUGCUGGACGAGCUUUGUGCUGUGGGAGAGGACAUAGCCAUGAUUUGAAAGGACUGAUUCCUCAUUUCUGGAAAGGAAGAGUUUGAGGUUCUUCAUGGCUGCAGAUCUUGAGAGGAAAGGCUGCUGAAAUGGUGCAAGUGAGAUGGUCUCUGCUGCUGAACCUCACCGGGCCCUAAUCCUGCCCAGAAGGGAAGGGCUCCUGUUAAGUGAAUUUUAUAUGGUGAAUACUUGGGGCCUGCCCCCCAAAUCUCAUGGCAGGCUUGUCCCACAUCUCUUGAAGAAAUCAGCACUUGGCCUGAAAACCUGGAGAGGUGGGUUAGGAACAAACCUCCCCAAACCUCCUGAUGGGUCAUGCCAUAUCCCUGCUUUCUUCAUCCUCGACUCUGGAGGACACAUCUUGGUGGAGGAGCUCAGGUAUGAUUCCCAAUUUCCCCCUUAUUUGCAAGGGAGUAUAUGAAAUCCCGAGCAGCCCAGAUGCUUUGUGCGUGCGGUUCGGAUGGGCUUUGCUGGUUCACUGGGCAGCCUUAUAAAGUGCUGGGGAAGGAGGGUGGCCAAAAAGGAGACGGGAGGCUUGCCUAAGCGAUUCCGGAGGAAAGAAAAACAGGGAGCAGCUCUGCCAGUGGAAAAGCCCAAACAAGAGCGAGGAGAGGGGUAGUGGGACGAGCGGGGACAGGGUGUCCAGAGCCUGUUAGAGGAGCCAGGACAUUCUUCGACCAGACCUCCCUACAAACACUCCUCCCUCCUUCCUGCUUCACUCCUCCAAGUUUUGUUUGGGGUUUGGAGUUUCGUGUUGUUGUUUGUUUUCCUUUCUUUCUCUAACCCUCUCCUCCGAGCUUUGGCCGCAUCUCCAGCUGAACCGGCCCCGGAGCGGGGCAGAGCCGGCUGUGGGAGGCUGCGGCUCUGCGGGGGCGGCUCAGCCCUGGCCCCGUCCCCACCCGCACCGCCUCCCCCACAGCCCCACUGCUGUGCCCCUCUUUUGCAAGACGAUGGCGCUCUGAUCUUUUCCACAGCUUCACUCCGCGACUUUCGAGUAUAUUUUUUUCCUGUUUUUUUUUUUUUUUCAUGCUUCACUGCUACUACGGGCGGGCGCCUGCCUCUGUCCCGAUUUGCUGCAGCCAUCGGGGGUGCCUGACUGUAAACAAAACACUUUAGAUCAUGGCAAGGUCGCUGCAGACANNNNNNNNNNNNNNNNNNNNCUCUUUUUUUUUCGUUUUUUUUUUCCUCUUCUGCAGCCGCAGCGAUUUAAGGUGGAUUGCCGAGAUCGCGGGGAAGAGGAGGGGGGAGCCAGCCCCGAUCCCCGAGCACGGCCGCGGAUGCUCCGGGGAUGAGGAUGCUCCCACCCCGGGGAAGACACUCUGAUUUAUUCUUUUUAAAAUUUUUCUCCUUAAUUUUAGCCCUUUUCCUGAUGAUUUGUCCCAGCGCGACCCCAACGUUUCCGGCGGCGCGGGCUGGGGGCU